GAUGAACGCUAGCGACAGGCUUAACACAUGCAAGUCGAGGGGCAGCACAGGUAGCAAUACCGGGUGGCGACCGGCGCACGGGUGAGUAACGCGUAUGCAACUUACCUAUCAGAGGGGGAUAACCCGGCGAAAGUCGGACUAAUACCGCAUGAAGCAGGGGUCCCGCAUGGGGAUAUUUGCUAAAGAUUCAUCGCUGAUAGAUAGGCAUGCGUUCCAUUAGGCAGUUGGCGGGGUAACGGCCCACCAAACCGACGAUGGAUAGGGGUUCUGAGAGGAAGGUCCCCCACAUUGGUACUGAGACACGGACCAAACUCCUACGGGAGGUAGCAGUGAGGAAUAUUGGUCAAUGGCCGAGAGGCUGAACCAGCCAAGUCGCGUGAGGGAUGAAGGUUCUAUGGAUCGUAAACCUCUUUUAUAAGGGAAUAAAGUGCGGGACGUGUCCCGUUUUGUAUGUACCUUAUGAAUAAGGAUCGGCUAACUCCGUGCCAGCAGCCGCGGUAAUACGGAGGAUCCGAGCGUUAUCCGGAUUUAUUGGGUUUAAAGGGUGCGUAGGCGGCCUUUUAAGUCAGCGGUGAAAGUCUGUGGCUCAACCAUAGAAUUGCCGUUGAAACUGGGGGGCUUGAGUAUGUUUGAGGCAGGGCGGAAUGCGUGGUGUAGCGGUGAAAUGCAUAGAUAUCACGCAGAACCCCGAUUGCGAAGGCAGCCUGCCAAGCCAUUACUGACGCUGAUGCACGAAAGCGUGGGGAUCAAACAGGAUUAGAUACCCUGGUAGUCCACGCAGUAAACGAUGAUCACUAGCUGUUUGCGAUACACUGUAAGCGGCACAGCGAAAGCGUUAAGUGAUCCACCUGGGGAGUACGCCGGCAACGGUGAAACUCAAAGGAAUUGACGGGGGCCCGCACAAGCGGAGGAACAUGUGGUUUAAUUCGAUGAUACGCGAGGAACCUUACCCGGGUUUGAACGCAUUCGGACCGAGGUGGAAACACCUUUUCUAGCAAUAGCCGUUUGCGAGGUGCUGCAUGGUUGUCGUCAGCUCGUGCCGUGAGGUGUCGGCUUAAGUGCCAUAACAAGCGCAACCCUUGCCACUAGUUACUAACAGGUAAAGCUGAGGACUCUGGUGGGACUGCCAGCGUAAGCUGCGAGGAAGGCGGGGAUGACGUCAAAUCAGCACGGCCCUUACAUCCGGGGCGACACACGUGUUACAAUGGCGUGGACAAAGGGAAGCCACCUGGCGACAGGGAGCGAAUCCCCAAACCACGUCUCAGUUCGGAUCGGAGUCUGCAACCCGACUCCGUGAAGCUGGAUUCGCUAGUAAUCGCGCAUCAGCCAUGGCGUGGUGAAUACGUUCCCGGGCCUUGUACACACCGCUCGUCAAGCCAUGGGAGCCGGGGGUACCUGAAGUGCGUAACCGCGAGGAGCGCCCUAGGGUAAAAC
rnacentral:rRNA from 1 species